rnacentral:rRNA from 1 species
GGAUUAGAUACCCUGGUAGUCCACGCCGUAAACGAUGUGCACUAGAUCGAGGAGGUUUUGACGCCGUUCUCGGUCGAAGCGAAAGUGUUAAGUGCACCGCCUGGGGAGUACGGUCGCAAGGCUAAAACUCAAAGGAAUUGACGGGGGCUCACACAAGCGGUGGAGCAUGUGGCUUAAUUCGAAGCAACGCGAAGAACCUUAUCCUGGGUUUGACAUGUACGGAUUAGCUUCCUGAAAGGGAAGUGACACCCUUGGGUGGAACGUACACAGGCGCUGCAUGGCUGUCGUCAGCUCGUGCCG